rnacentral:rRNA from 1 species
GACGAACGCUGGCGGCGUGCUUAACACAUGCAAGUCGAACGGAAAGGCCCCCUUGUGGGGUACUCGAGUGGCGAACGGGUGAGUAACACGUGAGUAACCUACCCUUGACUUUGGGAUAACUUCAGGAAACUGGGGCUAAUACCGGAUAGGAGCUCCUGCUGCAUGGUGGGGGUUGGAAAGUUUCGGCGGUUGGGGAUGGACUCGCGGCUUAUCAGCUUGUUGGUGGGGUAGUGGCUCACCAAGGCUUUGACGGGUAGCCGGCCUGAGAGGGUGACCGGCCACAUGGGGACUGAGAUACGGCCCAGACUCCUACGGGAGGCAGCAGUGGGGAAUAUUGCACAAUGGGCGGAAGCCGGAUGCAGCAACGCCGCGUGCGGGAUGACGGCCUUCGGGUUGUAAACCGCUUUCGCCUGUGACGAAGCGUGAGUGACGGUAAUGGGUAAAGAAGCACCGGCUAACUACGUG